ACUUUUUUUUUUUUUUUUAUGCAGCCGAAUAUUGUUUGUGUAAGUCAUAAUAUUUACGCAGGAGACGCCCGGGGAAUGAAGUCGAAGAUCUGCCGCACUGUGAGCGCAGAACUUCGGGUGGAGACCACGGAACGACUCCUUGCAGACAUGCUUGGACCGUCGGAAUGAUCCACAAGUAAAAGCACUCUGACUCUGUGACGCAGCGGGUCUGUCCCACACAAUGCAUGGGAGCCAGUCAGUGGUGCCGCACCCUGUGGCUGUGCACACCUCCCAUGCAGGGCCGCUCCGUCAUGACCUUUCUGAUGCUGUCUGAGCCGUCAAUAAUAGGAGAUGAGACAUAAACCACAGUGGCGAAGGCAUGAGCAGAGACUUGGUGGGCCACCUUUUCAGGCUGGAGUGGGCAGGCAUGCGGCUUUGGCCACAGGAAGCUGUGAAUUCUUCGAAGAAUGGAAGAUGUCCUACAGGGAGACGUACUCGGCCCGCCUACGCCCAUUCCUUACCCCAAAAUGACCCCUGACCCAUCCGUAUGUUUAUAUCAGAGCGUGGAAGUGAGAAAUAGUGAUGAGUCACUUUGGCCGUCUGUUUACACUCCGGAGUCACGCAAGGAAGGAAAUCAGCUACGGUCUGCUACAAGUGGCCAGCUUGGAGAGAGAAUAGAUGCGGCCCCUUCAGAGGUGCACCUCGAGCCGAGCGGGAUUUUAGAGGAUUUGCUUCACCUGAGGGCUGCUGUAAACUCCGUAAGACAACAGAAAACUGAAAACUUAACAGCACAAAUGAACUAUCGUCAAUUCGCACUUUCCUCAAGGAGAACUGCGUGGCAAAACAUUGUCUCAUCUUCCCUGAUGAUGCACUCUUGAAACUGCCGGGUUAAAAGUAACCCAAAUUGGGUGAAAUAGUCCGAAAGAGACUGAGCCAAUGUCGGGUGUUUUAUACCCGGCGUGUUGGGUUGAGGGUUUGACCCGGCACAUUUGGUCAAUAUUUCGAGCCAAUAGAGGGUAAAGACUAACCAUACUGAUGCAUUGCCAAGUUAUCAGCAACCAUUUUUAUGGCUGGGCCAUCUGCCUCUUCCUGGGAUUUGAACCCAGAGCUCUGUGCCCAAGGUUGGCAGGAUUAAACAAUGAUCCACCCAACCACCAACAUUUUGUGGAAUGUUACAUUGAACUUACUUCAAGUUCAGUACACGGGCAAAAAUGGGGACCAGAUUCAGCUCUUUCAGCUUUUUCAGUUGCUAAAAGCCUGUUUUAGUGAUUGAUUUGAUAUGAUUGCUGAAGGUCAGUUGUCCAUGAUUUCGGAUUUGGUCUUUGGUUUCUAAAGACAGUGACCCCAGGUAUUUUCUAACAGCAAUACUCUUUUCUUUAUUGCCAAAAUCAAUUACCUCUGUUCUGUUUUGGUUUAGCUGAAGCAUAUUCUGGUUCAUCAAAGUUGAAGCACCGCGCACGGUGGUCGACUGGUUAGCAUUUCUGUCUCACAGUGCAGAGGUCAUGUGUUUAUAUCCGGCUCUGGCCUC